AUGGUGAUGCAACAGUUCGGUGAUGCCGCAUUUGCUUUGCAGUUACAUCUAUUGAUUGCAAUCCAUUCCCGGCUCUCUGCACCUUACGGGGCCGGAGCAGCGCCAGCCGAAUGCAGGCUUUGCCUGCCGAGCCUGCGUAUUGCAAGGAGCCUUCGGACAYGUCCGCCUUGGGGACGGCGCUCCGCAGCCCAGCAGCAACCGCCGCGCAGUGGGGUGGGACUGGCUCCGGCCACCCGGUGGCACAUCCCAGCGUUGGCUGCCACACAGGCGGUGCGGGACCCAGCAGGCAGGCAGUGCGGCACGGCACACGGCACACGGCACACGGCGCACGGCGCACGGCACACGGCACGGUGUGGCACGGCCGUACCUGCCAGCCGCUCGCUGCUCCCGCUGCCGGCAGGAGCCCAGCGGGUUCGUGCUGUGCUCGCCACCGCACGCAGCGAUGGGGCGAAGGGGCUGAGGUCUGCGCGGCGGCAGGUCCCYGGGGGAGCCCGGCUGCCUCCUGGGGCGCAGGCUGCCAGCGAGCCGAAGCCCUCGCAGGUUUUACCUUCUCCUAAUCACGGCGUGAGACUUGCUGACCGCCCGGUCUGGAGCAGCGCUAGCAAGACGAUGUGCUCGCCUCAAAGCUCUCCGUCUCAGCUCCGAGGCUGGAAACCCUCGGCAGCCCCCGGGGAUUUUACGGACGGUGAUGCAUCCCGGAGCCCUUGGUGCCGGCCCCGAGGGUGCAAGCGCAGCCCGCUCAUCCCUGCGCCCGGGCGAGGAGCAGCGCUGGCUGCCAGGGAGCCGUGCCUCGGCACGCCGGGACGCACCGCAGGGCAUGGUGAGGGGUCCUGGAGGGGACACGGGGYGGCGGGGGCCAUCGCGCCUUGCCUCCAGCCCUGGCAGCCCCUGUGCACGCRGGAGCCGGCCUUCUCCCGGUGGAUUUCCCGGGAAACUUCUGCCUCCUCCGCCCAGGAAGGAGGCUUCAACGGCAGGAGGAAGUGCAAAAAACAACCUCAGCUGCAGGUCUGGGGCUGA
rnacentral:lncRNA from 1 species